ensembl:lncRNA
AUUACAUAUACAGCCAGUUGAAAUAAAAACGUGUAUGCAAACACCUUUUUUUUCUGAAUUGUGCAUAUGUAUAUGUAAUAUAUGUAAUAAACCUAAGAUAAAAAAAAAAACAUUUGGUUUAUUACUAUUAAUUAGAGUUAUUAAAAUUUUACAUCCACAGUGGGUACAGUCAAAUGUGUACAACAUAAUUUAUGCUUUAUUGUCUUGUUACGAACAGUCUGAAUUACAAUAUGAAAAAAUAAUUGAAUUGUUAUUAGAAGAAUGUACUGGUUUAGUUUUCUUUUCUUUAUUAAUUGGUUAUGUUGGAGAAGUGAAUACGUACGUAUUAAACAAUAUAAGAGAAGUGGAUUUAACAUAUAUACACCAAAUAAAUAAAUGGUAUUUUGACUUAGUCAAGCGGGUUGAUAAUAAACAGCACCUAGUUCGUUUGGAAGAAAUAAAAAAUGAAACGAUUCGUAAGAUACGCAGUGAUACGGAGAGGAUACGGGCCUUUUUCCCCAUUAGUGAUAAUGGCCAUGUCAUUACUGAUGGCAUUGGUAGUAUUGGGAUUGGGAUUGGCAUUGGUGGUAACGGCAUUAGUGGUAACGGUAUUAGUGUCGGUAGUAACGGUAUUAGUGGUGGUAGUAACGGUAUUAGUGGUGGUAGUAACGGUAUUAGUGUCGGUAGUAACGGCAUUACUGGUAACGGUAUGAGUGUCGGUAGUAACGGUAUUAGUGGUGGUAGUAACGGUAUUAGUGGCGGUAGUAACGGUAUUAGUGGUGGUAGUAACGGUAUUAGUGGCGGUAGUAACGGUAUUAGUGGUGGUAGUAACGGUAUUAGUGGUGGUAGUAACGGUAUUGGUAACAGCAUUAGUAGUGGAAGUAGCGACAGUAGUGGCACUGGUCACAUAAAAAAUAAACGAUUUUUAAAAGGAACAUGCUUUUGGUACGAACCACAUGAAAUAUAUACAUGGGACAUAUUGACAGGGAAAAAAAAAAACAAAAGGAACGACAAAGAUAUUGAAAAAAUGAGAAGGUUAAUAUUUGACAUAUUGGAAAUAUUAAUUUACAAUUUGAAUAAUGAAUUUAAAAAAAAAUUUAUAAAAAAAGCUUUUGUUAUUAUAGCAAAGAUUUUAAAUACAGAUAUAAGAGAUUUAUUCAUGUAUAAAUAUUCGAAUAAAAAAAAUAAUUUAUGUUUACUUGAUGUGUUUAUGAACCAGUUUGAUAUUUGUAAUUUUAUGAAGUCUCCAUUAAAAAAAAAAACUUAUUAUCUCGACAUGUAUUGUUUUUUGUUAUCUCAAAAACCGAGUGUUGUAAUGAGUUUAGACGUCAUUUUAACUUUAAUUAAAUAUGUAAUACAAAUAAUAAAAUACUUGGAAAAAACAGAUGAUGUGAAAAAUCAAUACUUUAAUUUGCUUCUUAAUGGGAACGUAAUUAAUGGUUGUUCAAGUGGUAACGUAAAUAUAAAACUGGGCGAAAAAUAUGGCUUAGACGUGAUUGGUGAGGAUGUGCCGGGAAAUGUGCAUGGGCUGGGUAAUGCGAACGAACUCGAUUUUACACAAGAACUCGAUUAUAUAGACGAAGAAGAAUUCAAACUUGUAAUGCAGUAUCCACAACAUCCACCAUAUCAUAUUUAUGAAGAAGGUAGAACAAAUAAGGGUUUGCAUAAUACGAGUUUAUGUAGUAAUAAUAAUAAUACUGCUAUUUUAAGUGAUAUACAAGUUAAUGAUAAACAUGUAUAUCAUUUUCAAAAUCAUUCAGAUAUUGAUACUUUUUUAGAAAUGCAUAUUGGCAAAAGCAAUGACGAAAAAAAAAAUAAAGACUUGCGCGAAUUAUAUGAAAGAAUAAAAAAAAAAAAAAAAAAUUACUGUUUACAUAAUAGUAAGAACUAUUUGUCUGCAUCUUUGCAAAAUGUAAAUAAUGAAAAUAAAUUUCACAAUAGUGACAACAAGUUUACUACUACUACUACCACUAAUACUACCACUAAUACUACCACUAAUACUACUACUACUACUACUACUACUACUACCACUAAUACUACCACUAAUACUACCACUAAUACUACUACUACUACCACUAAUACUACUACUACAUCUAAUAAUAACAAUUAUACUGAUGGUAAUACAAAUAGUAAUGAUAAUAGUUAUACUAACACUAGUACUAGUGCUAACAAUAAUAAAAGACAUUUUAUUAGUAUGACAACGCCAAUGCUGCAUAAAAAUAAUGACACAAUGCCUAAUAUGUUUAAUGAGGUUGAUCAUGAUAAUGUUAAUACUAAUGGUUAUGUGUUUCAAAAUUGUGUAAAUUGUAUGGAUGCAAACGAGAGUGAAGGAAAUUAUGUUGGUACGACUUGUGCUGGUACACUACAUAACGAACCAAAUGCGAAGUUAUCAAAUUACGCUUCACAACUUACACCAUUUUUAAUUAAUAAUAACUUGCAGCCGAGUGAAAGUGUUCCAAAUGGUGUUCCUACCUGUCAUAAUAAAGAAAAAAUAAAUGAUAAUAUUAGCAUGAACCUACGAAUGAACAAUACGAAUGUACAAAAUAACGUAGAAGGAAAAACCUAUCACUCGGUUGACAAUAUUAGGCUUGAUCAUAUUAAGAUUGACCAUAUUAAGGUUGACCAUAUUAAGGUUGACAAAAAUAAUAUAAAUAGAUAUAACAAUAUAAAUACGAGCAAUAUGUAUAGCAUUGUAGACGUUUUAGGUAAUUAUGAUAAUGUUGGGACUUAUAACGGAAAUACAAACGAAAAAACCUUAGGUAGUACAAGUGACAAUAUAAAAAGUGGCAUACGCGACAAUGUAAAUAACAAUACAAACAUAUAUAAGAACACGUUUAGUUUUGAUUCAUUCAUUACAGCACAAAUUAAUAACAGAGAGAAUUUACAUGACAAUAUACUAAAUAAAAGUCCUUUUCAACACACUGUAAGGGCGCAAGAAAAAAAAGAUCACAAAGAUAUGAAUGAAUGUAUUUCCUAUAUGACAAAUACAAAUAUGAAUAAAGAACUAAACGAUUUAUAUUACAAAACUGACAUGAAUAUACAAUGUAACAACAACUAUGACAGUAAUAACAGGAGCCUAAAGGAAUGUAAAAAUGCGCACGAUGACGAAAAUGUAAAAAUUUACACGAACAGCCAAAAUAGACUUGAAAAUGAAAAAGGAGAACACCGAGGGAAGGGUGAAAGAGGUGGAGAAAAAGAAAGCAAAAGCGAAAGAGAAAGUGAAAGAAAAAUAAAAAACGAAAGAGAAAACGAAAACGAAAACGAAAACGAAAAGAAAAGCGAGAACAAAAGCGAGAGCAAAAGUAAAAGCAAAAGUAAAAGCAAAAAAAUAGAGGACGACAUGUAUAAACGAAAAACGUUAAAUACAUGUUCUUAUUUGCAGCAUCCCAAAGAAAAUAAAGAAGAUAUAAUAAAAAAAACUAAUGUUAUUGAUUUUUUUUUAAAAGAACAUGAAAAUGAUGUUAUCGAAUUUUUUUCUGUAUUUAUGACUCUUGUUAAAAUAUGCUUUAGCCAUCCAGUAUAUAAAAAUGCUCUUAUUAUGUCUAGUCCUAUAGAAUAUAAAAAGAAGGUACGUUUAUAUAAUACUUGUAUUAACAUUUUGUUAAACUUUUUGUUUAGUCAAAAUAAAGAGUUAUGUGCUAAAGCGGAAAGAACAUUGAGAUAUUUAAUCAGGGUGAAUGGACAUGUUAAGGGGUUAUGGAAAUGUGGUGGUUGUAAAGUUGGUGGGGUGGUCGGAGGUUAUAAUAACAAUGGAAAUGACAACGUUAAUGGAAAUGACAACGUUAAUGGAAAUGACAACGUUAAUGGAAGUAACGAGGUUAAUGGAAGUAACGAGGUUAAUGGAAGUAACGACGUUAAUGGAAAUGACAACGUUAAUGGAAGUAACGAGGUUAAUGGAAGUAACGACGUUAAUGGAAGUAACGAGGUUAAUGGAAGUAACGACGUUAAUAGAAAUAACAACAAUAAAACACAAUUAUUAGUGCAGGAAAAAAAAGCAGUGUCAAUUACAUGGAAAUUAAAUAUUACAGAGUUAAAGACAUAUUUAAAAUCCACUUUAUGUAACAUAUUUUACGCAUUAAAAAAAAACAGAAAUAAUAUUUUAAAACAGAACUUCAUUCUCGGUGCUAGUAAAAUUUGUUCUUUAUUUCAUAAAAAAAUAUCUUGUUUGUUAAUAGAAAGUUUUAUUAAGUAUAUAAUCAUAUAUAUAAAAAGAUUGAUACAUUGCAGAAAUAUGUAUAAUGACUUAGAGCAUAACGUAGAAGUCUUAAACAUAUUUUUUGUUACUACAAAGUUAUCUUAUAAGCAAUUUAAAAUAAUAAUAUAUUUAUUAAUAAAAAUACAUAACUAUUUUAUAAAAGGAGACACACAUAAAUGGAAUUAUCUAGACGAAUUGAAUAAAUAUAUUAGUCAUGAACAAAAUAAAUUAGGUUAUUAUCCAAUAUAUAAUCCAGUAAGUAAAAAAAAAGAUGUUGUAUGGGAAAAUUUGUUUAAUGAUGAAAAAAGUAAAAAAGGAAAGAAAAGAAAUAUAAAUAAAAGUAUUAACACGGAUUCAAGUUGGAUGGGGGUGAAUCAUGUCGAGGGAGAUAUAAGAGAAGGUAUAUUUAGUUAUGAUAAAGAGGAACCUACAGGUGGUGCAGAUGUUAGUACUAUAAAAAAUGGUACUGCCUGUACAACCAAUAGUAGUAGCAGUAGUAGUAGCCAUAAUUGUAACAAUAGAAGCCAAGUGGAAUGUUAUAUCACAAAUAACAACGAAGAACGUACCGGAUUGGAUUUUUCAUAUGUCUACAGUUUAAGUUUAUUAUGUUUGAAUAACUAUGAACAUACAUUGAACUUUUUUUUGAAGAAUAUAGAAAAUUAUAAAAUGUUUUGGUAUUUCAUAACAAUAUUAAAUGUAUAUACACUGUGUGGGUUGAGAAAAUACAUAUUUAAUAACAUUAACCUAUUUAUGAAUACUCUUUUAAAAUAUAUUUCUGAGUUUUAUUCGAAUGAAAUAUUUGUUCAUGUGUUUAAUAUAUAUGUGUUGGAUAUAUCUGUUGAUAAAUUCAUAGAUAUUGUAGAGUUUGAUUGUAACCAAAUGAAAGGUUUAGUUAACAAUACAUUUGUUUUUGCAAAUAAAACACAAAAUGCAACCGUAUUUACAUUUUCAGAAGCAUUAAAAACUAGGAGACCAAGAGAUGAAAUAGAAAAAGAAAUGGGAGAAAGAGACAUAUAUGAUUUUAAUAGUGAAGAAAAUAGUAGUAAUGGUAUUAAAGUAGAUAAAAUACAUCCAUUUAUAAAUUUGAGUAAUAACAAAUUUAUAAGAAACAUAUGUAAUCUUAUAAAUAUAGUUCAUACUAUUAUAAAAUAUGAACCUUGUUGUAUAUUUAUAAAUUUUUAUAAAGAAAGGAUUAUAAAAAAUCAAACAAGUGUUAUCGAAAUAUUAUACAUUUGUGUAUGUUAUUUAAUUAGUGAAUAUAUACUUGACAAGAAUAAUAAUUUUAUAUUUUUUUUGAAUAGUUAUGAAUGCAGAAAAUGUGUUAAAAUAUUUAUUACAUUUUUCUAUUUUUGUAAAGAUUUACUUAGUUAUGUCUUUUUCGAUCGUGUUAAAUCAAAAAAAAAAAAAAAAAAAAAAAAAAAAAACUUGGUAACCUCGAGUAAAACAUUUAACUGUAAUACUAAUCGGAAUAGUUAUAUAAUAAAUAAAAUGCAAUUUAAUAAUCAUAUUUUUUUUUUACGAACUCAUUUAAUUAUCAUUCUGAUUUUUAUUGUAUGUGCAGAUGCAAUUAUAGACUAUAAUUAUAUUAUAAAGUUUGUUAAAAAACAUGCAAUGAAAAGUUUAAAUUGUUGGGAAAAACGUUUUUUAUUUUUUACUAUUAUUAACAUUAUACAACAAUUUGGUCAAAUAUCAAAAUUUAAGAAGUUUCAUGAAAUGGCAAUAAAAGUUGUAAUUAUUAUUUUAUUGAAAGAGUAUAUAUAUGAUGUGCAAUAUAGUUUUGUAACUUUGAAAAAUGAAUUUGAUGUAGAAAAUGAAAACGUAAAUGAAGAUGUUAAUGAUUCUAUUUGUAAAAAUUGUAUUUUUUCUGUGUUGCUCGCUAAAAGGUUUUCAAAAAAUGAUGUUAAAAAUGUGGUAUAUAAUUUAAGUAGUCCAUGUGAAGGCAUUGGUCGGACAAUAUAUGCGAAUAAAAGUGAUGGUACUACAAUUGGUUCUAAAAGUGAAUCUACCACUGAGAAACUCGAUGUAUGUGAUAGUUGUGCAAAUACAAACACGAGAAACUAUAAAGAACAACAUAAUGUAAAGCACAUAAAAAAUAAAAAUGAAAUAGACAAUAUACAUAAAUGUAUAUACAAAAAAUUGGACAUACAUACAACAAGUAUAAAAAGUAUAAACGACAAAAAACAUUGUGCUUUUGUAUUCAAUUUAAAUGACAAUAAAUGCUCACACUCUGACCCAAUAGGUAGUACUAAUUGUAACCCCAAUACGAGUGCCAAAUCUACCAAUUAUUGUUUUUUUUAUUAUGACGUAUACACAAGUACCAAUCAUCAGAAACAUAAUCCGCCCUUUAUAUAUAACGACAGGUUAAUUAUGAACACCAAUGAAAUUAUAUAUACAUUAAAAGUAUUACUAGAAGAUAUAAAUAACAAUUUUGAUAUGGUUUAUAAUAAAUUAAUUAUAUGCAAAUUGUUUAUUCAUAUUAUAAGAAAAAUGGAGAUAAAAAAAAAAUUGUUAUAUUUUUACCUUAUUAAGAUUAAUAAAGCUUACACAAAUUAUCCGCAUGGUAAUAUAAAACAGUUAAGUUUUCAUAACAUUAUUUUGGUUUAUAAAUAUUUUUUUUUUCGUUACGUGGAUAUGAACGGGUACGAUUUUGUUAAAGAUUGUGUUGGCGAGCACAGAAGCAGAAAGGAAAAUCGUAAUCGCAACGAGAGAGGCAGAAAAGACAUAUGCAAUAAACAUAUUAUCAAUUUAAGGCAGCUUUUUAACUAUAUAAUAUUAAACUGUGCAAAAAAAAAAGACAACUACGCUAGGACAAAUUUAGAAAUUUUGUUAAAGGUAGUGAAAUUGCAAAAUACCAAAACAAGUAAAAUUAUAUAUAAAAAGAUAGUUUGGUAUUGUUAUUUAGCUGAAAAUUAUAUAAAUUAUUUUUAUAAUAAUAUAUUUAUGAAGAAAGUUCACGUAUCAAGCGGUACUAGCAAUGCUAGAGCACAUCGGUGUACGAAAAAAAUAAUUAGUUUUGACAAAUACGUUUAUGAAUAUUAUAAUUAUUUAAAAUGUAAGAAUAUGCUAAAUUAUGAAGAGCUAGUUUUGGAAUAUUUAAAAAAAUGUAAAAAUAUAUAUAAUAAAAUACAUAUCCUGGAAAUAGUGUUAAAAAAUAUAUAUUCAUUUUAUAAUAUAUACCCAUAUAUUGUAGCAUCUAUUUUUAAUAAUUUGAAAAAUAAUUUUAUGAAUGGUACAUAUAAAAAGGAUAAGAAACAGGAAUUGUUUUGGAUAUUUUGUCUAAAAUCUAUAGUAAGUUUAAUAAAAUUUAAUGUAUUUUGUAACUGUGUUCAUGAUCUAUUUUUUUUAAAAAACGAUACAUUAGUUGUGAAGAGGUUUAACACGGAUCAAGAGAAAAGUUUUCCUUACAAGGGGAAGAACAAUACAUCUCAUUACAAUACGAAACAAAAAGAACAGUGCAUGCAUAAAACAAAAAAAACAAAAAAAAAAGCAAUACAAAAUUGCGCAACAAACAAGAAUAGAAAGUACGAAGAAAACAAAUUAUUUAUAAAAUUGCAAAAUUUGAUAUAUAAAUAUUAUAUUAAAAAUAAGAAUAAUGACAAAGAACGUUUUAUUUUUUUGAUUGGUAUUGUAAAUAUAAUAAAAAAAUACAAAUAUAUAGAUGCUAACUUAACUAUAUUAGAUGUAUUAGCUAAUUUUUUAGUUUUUUCUUUGGUAAAACAUGGUGGGCGUGUUUCACGUGACUCUCUUAGUUACUAUAAAAAUCGGCUGAAUAAUAGAGGUGGUUGUAACUAUGGUUAUAAAGGAAAUGUCGUUUGCAAAAGAAUGUUUAUAAUACUGGAAGAUAUAUUAAUAACAAAUAAAUACAUAAACAUAAAAUAUGUGAAAUUGUAUCAGGCUUUGCUUAGGUGCUACGACAUGAAAUAUAAAAACGGUGGUGUCAUAAAAAAAAAAAAAAAAAAAAAAAAAAUGAUAAUAACAAAGAAAACCAAUUUCAUCAGUACUGGAACAGAAAAAUUAGCUUCCAGCAAGAUUUUGAUAAAAAAUGAAUCGAACGGGAGUCAAGUUGCUGAAAAGGAUUCGAACGUAACAACAUCUACUGGUUGUGGAAACAAUGAUUAUAAAAAAGAAAAAGUGGAUUAUCAAUUUGUUACUAAUAAAAAGAAACACAUAUUGGAAAACAUGUUUUGUAACGUAACAAUCGACAUAAAUAGAAUAGAAAAUGUUUACAAAAUUGUGAAUAAAGAAAAUGUGAAUAGUAGCAGUUAUGAUAGUAGUGAUAGUGCUGAUAGUGCUGAUAGUGCUGAUAGUAGUGGUAAUAGUGACAGACUUAAUCGUAGGUGCACCAAAAACGAAUUCGUCGUACAGGUUACUUACAUGAUACUAAAAUUGCUACUGAGAUAUUUAAAUAAAAAAAGCAUUUACAAGAACUUGCACAUAUUAUGUUGUAUUUUCUUCUUAUUAAUAAAAUUUAAUAAUAAGAAAAUACAAAAAGGAGUAUUUUGUUUAAUACAUUAUAUUAUAGUAUCACGCAAUAGUCAUUAUUUAUCUAAUUUUUAUAAAUUAAUAGAAAAAAUAGAUAUCAAGAAUGAGUUAGGUGGUGCUGAUGGCUAUUCUCCAGGUGGUUCAUCAAAAUGGCUUUCUUAUUAUUCCUUUGAUUAUACUUUUGAAAUAGAACACAAGAGUAAGCAUAAAGUUGAGUUUUUAAAUAAGAUGCUAAUUAGUUUAUGCUUGGAUGGGAUAGACGGGUGUAGAAUGGGGUCGUUUAGGUUGGACAAUAAGAGAGAGAAUGAGUUAAAUGGGAAAAUUAACCUUAAAGUAAAUGAAAAGAAAGCCGAGCCAAAUGAAAAGAAAGCCGAGUCAAAUGAAAAGAAAGCCGAAUUAAAUGAAAAGAAAGCCGAACCAAAUGGAAAGAAAGCCGAACCAAAUGGAAAGAAAGCCGAACCAAAUGGAAAGAAAGCCGAACCAAAUGGAAAGAAAGCCGAACCAAAUGGAAAGAAAGCCGAACCAAAUGGAAAGAAAGCCGAACCAAAUGGAAAGAAAGCCGAACCAAAUGGAAAGAAAGCCGAACCAAAUGGAAAGAAAGCCGAACCAAAUGGAAANNNNNNNNNNNNNNNNNNNNNNNNNNNNNNNNNNNNNNNNNNNNNNNNNNNNNNNNNNNNNNNNNNNNNNNNNNNNNNNNNNNNNNNNNNNNNNNNNNNNUGGCAAUGGAUGUAGUACCCCCCCAUUUAGUACUCAUGUACCAUUCGAAACGAGUGUGUAUAUUUUUUUACUUUUCUGUCAACUGUAUAAUAAGAAUGGAAUAAAGUAUUAUAAAAAAGUAAUUAAGUAUAUUUU